AGAGAAGGGCCCUUGUCAGCGCAGGAGUGAGGGGCGCUUUCCAGCACUGACCCAGCGACAAAGGUGAAGGUGGGAAAAGCCCCUUGUGGACGUGGACGGUGAAACUGAGCUGGCGCCUCGGGCAGUGAUGCUUGGGCUGGCAGAGACCAGGGAGAGAGUUCUCACUGGUCAUAAGGCCAAGCUCUCAAGACACAAGACAAACAGGAAAGAAACACCUGCCCCUGGGAGGAAAGAACCCUUGAGCACCAAAACCAAAUUUACAUGAGCGUCCCGAGCCACGCGAAUGACUUUCUCCCACCAAGCUGAACUGGGAAGAGCAGGAACAAGGCGUGUUUGCCUCCCACCCUCAGCCGGGCACUGCAGACAGACAGCCAGAGAGCGGGCUGUGGUCAGAGUCCCCUCUGACCUCUGCUGGCUUCGUGUCAGUCUCCCGGAUCUCAUCUGCAGGCUCCAGAGCAGGCUGCGUGUCAGCAGCUGAGACCCAAGGCACACACGAUGGAGUAAGGAGAGGAGCACACGCGUGUAUUGGACGCAGACACUCCACAUUUGUGAACCUUUCCUGCACCCAUCACCUCAGUAAACCCCAGGGAAGCGCGUGGGCCUUGAUCCCAGGUCCAGGCCCUCUGCCCAGGCCCCUCCUCAGCAGGGCCCGGCCAUGCCCGCUCCACAGCAGCUCAGGUCGGGUUCUCGUAGCUGGUGAAGCUGGAGAGCCUCUCCCGCAGGGCCUUGAAGCAGGGUCUCUGCUCGGGGUCCCUGCACCAGCAUGUCAGCAUCAGCUUGUGCACGCUGGGCGGGCACUCCAGAGGGCAGGGCAUGCGGUAGCCGGCGUCCACCCUCAGGAAGGCCUCAUGGUUGGACAUGCCUGCGGCCGACAGGGAUGAGAAGAGCUGGGGCCCACCUGCCUACCCUCCCCCAAGAAGCCACACCAGCCAUCCACUGCCCCUUCCUGGGGCCUUCCCCGCAGCCUCAGCUGCCAUGCCUUGGCGCCACCCAGCACACUGUCCACUGCUAACACCUCCCUCUGGACAGGGCUCCAACAGGCAGCUCCAGGCACCAGCCUGGGUGCUCAGAGAAUGGUGCAGGUGUGGAGUUCAGGCGAUGGCCCGCGGAGGGCCCUGAAGCCCGUGGGGGAGGCACCCCCCAGCGUCCCUGCCGGCUACCCAGGACCUCCCCCACUCUGCCUCUCAUGCCCAGUCAGGGACAGUGGGGACAGUACCUGGGUAGGGCACCUGACCCCUGCUGAACAUCUCAUGCAGGAGAAUCCCAAAGGACCAGACGUCGGAUUUGGUGGAGUAAUGGCCUCGGGAGAGCGCUUCAGGGGCCGUCCACUUGUAGGGGAUAUUGUGGUCAUGGGAGAGGUAGACGUCCUCCUGCAAUCAGCCUGGAGCUGAGUGGGCCGUGGGGGCUGCCUGUGCCCUGCCCCCGAAGCAUGGACGGGCACAGCGGCCGCAUUGCCCCAGCAGUGGGACGGUGAUGACCCCACUGUCUGACCCACGCACGGCCGCUGCAGCUAAGGCCACACUGGGGCCUGACCACCUUCAGGAGCCCAACUUCCCCUGGGAUUGCAGAGGGUGUUUUCCCCGACGAGGAUGUUCCUGGCGGCCAGGUCCCGGUGGAUGUAAUUCUGCGACUCCAGGUAACACAUGCCCUCAGCCACCUGCCAGGCGAUGUCCAGCAGCUCCGAAACGGGCAGGACUUUCUCAUCAGAGUCUGCAGAGGGGAGUGGAGCAGAGCCUGGGGUCAGCUGAGCCAGCUGAGGUGGGGAAGGGUUGGGGAGGCUGGGCCAUGUCUCAUCUGCCUCCAAGCUCUGCGGGCUCAGAGGAGGGGCCGGGGCAAAGGGCAGCUGGCCUGAUUGAAAAUUGGAACUGCAGGCCAGCUACCGCCCUUCUGGAAGGCAACUGUUUAUCACGAACCAAGGAGCAAGCUGGGCGUGGUGGCUCACGCCUGUAAUCCCAGCACUUUGAGAGGCUGAGGCGGAUGGAUCACGAGGUCAGGAGAUCGAGACCAUCCUGGCUAACACGGUGA
rnacentral:lncRNA from 1 species